rnacentral:rRNA from 1 species
AUUGAACGCUGGCGGCAUGCCUUACACAUGCAAGUCGAACGGUAACGGGCCUUCGGGUGCCGACGAGUGGCGAACGGGUGAGUAACGUAUCGGAACGUACCUUUCAGUGGGGGAUAACGUAGCGAAAGUUACGCUAAUACCGCAUAUUCUGUGCGCAGGAAAGCAGGGGAUCGCAAGACCUUGCGCUGAUUGAGCGGCCGAUAUCAGAUUAGCUAGUUGGUGAGGUAAAGGCUCACCAAGGCGACGAUCUGUAGCGGGUCUGAGAGGAUGAUCCGCCACACUGGAACUGAGACACGGUCCAGACUCCUACGGGAGGCAGCAGUGGGGAAUUUUGGACAAGGGGGGCAACCCUGAUCCAGCCAUGCCGCGUGAGUGAAGAAGGCCUUCGGGUUGUAAAGCUCUUUCGGCCGGGAAGAAAUCGUAUCAGCUAAUACCUGGUGCGGAUGACGGUACCGGCAUAAGAAGCACCGGCUAACUACGUGCCAGCCGCCGCGGUAAGAC